AUUGAACGCUGGCGGCAUGCUUUACACAUGCAAGUCGAACGGUAACAGGCCGCAAGGUGCUGACGAGUGGCGAACGGGUGAGUAAUGCAUCGGAACGUGCCCAGUCGUGGGGGAUAACUACUCGAAAGAGUAGCUAAUACCGCAUACGAUCUAUGGAUGAAAGCGGGGGACCGUAAGGCCUCGCGCGAUUGGAGCGGCCGAUGUCAGAUUAGGUAGUUGGUGGGGUAAAGGCUCACCAAGCCAACGAUCUGUAGCUGGUCUGAGAGGACGACCAGCCACACUGGGACUGAGACACGGCCCAGACUCCUACGGGAGGCAGCAGUGGGGAAUUUUGGACAAUGGGCGCAAGCCUGAUCCAGCAAUGCCGCGUGCAGGAAGAAGGCCUUCGGGUUGUAAACUGCUUUUGUACGGAACGAAACGGCUCUGGUUAAUACCCAGGGCUAAUGACGGUACCGUAAGAAUAAGCACCGGCUAACUACGUG
rnacentral:rRNA from 1 species